CAUGCUGUUAACACUGGAAAGUAGAAAAAGAGGAUUACAAAAAUAGGAUACAUGUUAAUGACUGUGUGUUCUCUCUGCUUCCUGACAAAAGUAAAACAAGAAUAAUAACCACUCUAAGAUGGAGCAAGAGAUGCAGGUUUCUCAGGAAGUCUUGUCAUCUAAACAGAUAGGAGCAAGGAAAGUGGUGUUCAGAUUUUACCUGGUUGGUUUUAGCUUGAGAUAGAUGCUCUGCAUCUGUCAAUCUGUCACCUGAGGCAGAAGACUGGGAAGAAUGAAAGGAUGCCUCCACACCUUACUGUAGAACAGGAGUGUGAUGUGCUUCAAAAGUGAAUCUUGAGAUUGUCCAGUUGUUACUCUUGUUAACAGUUUGAUGUUAGGAUGUAGGAGGUAUUUUCCUUUCAGAAGAAAUCAAAACAUACUGCAGAAGAAAACCUGACAUGUCCCAGCAGCAAGUGGAGCUUCAAAAAUACUGGCCCAGGCUAGGUAUAAUUUAAAGUAAAUUUAUCAAAAUAAUGUAGUUUGUGGGUAUAAACAAUUGCCAAUCACCAGUCCUUCUGUUCUACAGAUCUACUCCUGUUAAUUUACAUUUCUUACUGGUACGGACAGAGACUGAGAUAUUUAAGAUGACACAUUAACUGUGAAAGGGGAGUGGUGAUAGUGUUACAUUUUUUCCAAUGUGUGGAAUUUGUAUUCUGAUGGUAAAAAUGAAAGCAAAAUCAUAGUUCAUAUAUACAAAAUAAUAAUAAUAAAAAAAUCUAAUCCUACAGUAGCAAAAAUUCUGAGGACUGAAAGUUGAUAUUGCUGUGGUCUCUAAAAAGAAAUACUUUGACAUGUUAAAUUUGGACUGAGAAUAAAUUACAGACUAAAGUUUGAAGCAACUGGAGAGAUCCCUGGCACAUGCCCAACUGGCAAGUGUUCAUACAUUUCUUUAAUUCAGCUCAGUCUGUUUUCCCAGCCUUACAGCAGAAAGAUGGUUACUGAGUCUGGGACAGCUUACAUGUGAUUGUGAAUAUCUUGGUCAGGUGCCACCUACCUCCAUCUUUACGGAGGAAGAGCUUAACACAUUUGUGAUGAGGUAAAUUCUGUUGCAUUUUGCUGUAGCUUACCAACAAAGAAAGAACUGGCUAUUAGCUUUAAUAGUUGCAUAAUUGAAAAUGAACUGACCUCUUUCACAUGCUUGAAAAUAAAGCAAUCUUUUAUACUAAUAGAAUGGGUUUCAGUCAUGUCUUAAGAGUGCUGUUAGUCUGAAGUAAUAUUUGCCAGUUCAUACCACCUGCAAUUGUUAUUCAAUGUAUUAGUGACACUUGUUUGAAUCUGGGACUUGUUUGCCCAAUAUUCUUACCCUAGACCAGAGAUGACUGAAAACUCAGUCACCCUCAGGAAGUUGAAUUCUGCCAACCAGGGAGUGAGAUAUUGAUACUUAACCAAUACUAAGCUCACUUUGCAACGUGAAGGGAAGAGUCAGAGUCAAUGCCAGACUUUUUCUUGUUGUAAAACAGAAAAGAUAGAAGAGCAACUUCAGCACACCUGUUUUUUCAAGAUUUAAGCAUAGGAAAUGCUGUUUGUGUCAAUUUUAUCUAAAUUUGAAUUCAGCUCUGACAAAGUACAUCUCUGUACUUCAUAUGGUUUUGAAAGACACUUGAAAUUUAGGAGAGCGAAUAAGAGAAGGGAAGGGAUCCUUUGAAAAGGAAAAAUACCUUUGCUAGCACUCUCAUCAUAUAAACAUAAUUCCCAUUAUGUGGCUGAAUUGAUGAGGAAAGAAUACCUACUUUAAGCAGUUUCACUCUUUCACUUAGAGGACUACCAAUUUCUUGUAUUUGUCUUUGAUACAUUGUAGGGUCAUUACAGAAUGAAAUUACUUAUCAGAUGGAAUUAUCUAGGACUUUCCAAUUUUGAAUAAUGAUUAUCAGUAUUUCAAGGAGACACAAAGUUAAUACUUACAUGGUAGAAUUUGUCAAUGAGAUUGUUACAUGUCAAGGUGAAUAGAUUUGUGAAAGAGAAGAGGAAGUACUAGUGAGACUGAAGGCAAUGGGAAGAAAAGUUUGGAAGCCCUGGUCUGGACAAGAGCUGUUAUCUCUAUAUAUAAAAGUUUCAUUUUGCACUUGGAAGAGUCAGACUUGUUUUAAUACCAGAAUAAAUCAGUUGCUAAACUGUCUAAAAACUGUCUAUGCCUGGCAUGUUGAUAUCAACACUUACUUGAAUGGGUGUGGAAUUCAUCCCACAUACAUGGACCAUUCAUCAUGAACAAGCAAAUACGUUCCAAAGUCUAGGGGAAAAUAAUGUUACCUUAAAAAUUUGUUUUCUUCACAGUUUUUCUCUUCAUCAUGCAGUCCAGACGCUCUAUAAAGGCAGAAAAAUGGGAAUAUUCUUUGUAUUGUUUUCUUGAAAGAUAGAGUCAUUCUCUUUAUUCUCAUCUUGAGGAUUAAAGUCAGAUCUGACACCAGGUUGAUUUUUGUCUCUUUAAAACUACAGGAAGAUGAGACAAAUAUCAGAAGUCCCUAGUUUUUACAUGGUGCAUGUAGCAAAGUCACAAGCUGAAAGCUGUUCACUUUGUAGAAGGAAACAAGGACUGUUCAUAGUCCUGUGAGAUACAUAAACAAAGUUAUUUGAUGGAAGAAGGCGGUUGAUUCUUUUAAGAAUGUUAUGUAGCCCACUGAUAAAGAACUAUAGGUUAAAAUAAGCCAACAUCAGACUUCAGAAUAUGUUUUUCCAUAAUGUUUUGGAACACUGAAGAUGCUGUUCUGACUGUGCCUAAUUUCCACUUAUUAUAACAGGGCUUCUGAAAAACAAACACUUUAAGGUGUCUGUAUGAAGAUAGUCGUAUCAGCUCUUUAGCUUUACUAGAUGGCAUCUUGUUUUGGCAGAAGUAUUUAUAAAAUAGGG